rnacentral:pre_miRNA from 1 species
AUGAUACUCCCUCCGUCCCAAAAUUCUUGUCUUAGAUUUGUCUAAAUACGGAUGUAUCUAGUUACGUUUUAGUGUUAGAUACAUCCGUAUCUAGACAAAUCUAAGACAAGAAUUUUGGGACGGAGGGAGUAUUAG